AACGAACGCUGGCGGCAGGCCUAACACAUGCAAGUCGAACGCUCCGCAAGGGGAGCGGCAGACGGGUGAGUAACGCGUGGGAACAUGCCCUUCGGUUCGGAAUAACUCAGGGAAACUUGAGCUAAUACCGGAUACGCCCGAACCAAAUUUGGGGGAAAGAUUCAUCGCCGGAGGAUUGGCCCGCGUCCGAUUAGCUAGUCGGUGAGGUAAUGGCUCACCGAGGCGACGAUCGGUAGCUGGCUGAGAGGAUGAUCAGCCACAUUGGGACUGAGACACGGCCCAAACUCCUACGGGAGGCAGCAGUGGGGAAUAUUGGACAAUGGGCGAAAGCCUGAUCCAGCCAUGCCGCGUGAGUGAUGAA
rnacentral:rRNA from 1 species